rnacentral:rRNA from 1 species
UACGUAGGGUGCAAGCGUUGUCCGGAAUCACUGGGCGUAAAGGGUGCGUAGGCGGGUCUUUAAGUCAGGGGUGAAAUCCUGGAGCUCAACUCCAGAACUGCCUUUGAUACUGAAGAUCUUGAGUUCGGGAGAGGUGAGUGGAACUGCGAGUGUAGAGGUGAAAUUCGUAGAUAUUCGCAAGAACACCAGUGGCGAAGGCGGCUCACUGGCCCGAUACUGACGCUGAGGCACGAAAGCGUGGGGAGCAAACAGG